GCGGGAUUAGCUCAGUGGUAGAGCAUAACCUUGCCAAGGUUGGGGUCGAGUUCGAAUCUCUUAUCCCGCUCCA
rnacentral:tRNA from 1 species